GGCCCGGUAGUUCAGUUGGUUAGAACGCCAGCCUGUCACGUUGGAGGUCGAGAGUUCGAGUCUCUUCCGGGUCGCCA
rnacentral:tRNA from 2 species